CCAGAGAGCUGGUAUACAAUAAUAACACCUCAUCAAUGCUUAGGCAUUUCAGAGCCAUAUAUGAAAAAGAAAAGCCACACACUUCAAAUCUGUGGUCAAUCUUAUUGUAAAGGAUUCACAGCCCUUUACUGUUGUGGAAGACGAGGGGUUCAGGGAACUCCUUCAUUUGCUGGAUCCCACCUAUGUUCUCCCUACUAGAAAGGCAUUAAAGAAGAUGGAGGAAAAAUAUGAAAAAAAAAAAAAAAGAAAAGGCCAAAGAGGACAUGCAGAAGGUGUCUGCUGUGAGCCUCACAGUAGAUAUGUGGAUAUUAAUAAAUACGGAUGCAUACCUGGCAAUAACAUGCCACUUUGUUGAUGGAGACGACAAACUGGGCACUGUGCUGCUUAGAGUUGAACAUUUCCCUCAGAGUCACACAUCAGAAAAUCUGGCAAGGGUAGUUCAUACCCACAUGGAGGAGUGGGGAAUAACUAAUAAGGUUACUUGCCUAUAGUCACUGAUGCUGCAUCAAACAUGAUUGCACGUGCUAAGGCCUUAAGGAUCAGGCACUCUGUGUGCAUUGCUCAUGCACUGAAGUUGUUGGUAGGAAAAUCAUUUGACCAGGUCCCUGCUCUCUGUGACAUUCGUACAAACGAAUUGUAACAUAUUUUCACUCAAGCACCAAAGGUAAAGAAAGCUAGAAGUAGUAUAGAUACAGAUAGGAAGACAGUCACAAAAGCUUGUCACUGAUGUGGACACACGCUGGAAUAGCAUAACCUCACUAUCUUGUCAGGAGUAUCAAACAAUUGAGGAGUGCUUACCUGUAUUAUUCACUUUUUACCAGGCAACAUUAGAGCUCUCAGAAGAGAGAAGGGUCUCAAUCUCAAAGAUAAUCCUUAAUGAACAUGCUGCACCAUGCAGGACUUGCAAAAUCAGCAAAUAUCACCAGAGUUGCUAAACUUCUCUCAGGAGUUUUUAAAGUGUCAGAGAAAAUGUGACAAGUAUAGAAUCCCUAAACAUAAUGACAGUGGCCACAUUUUUGACCCCAGGUUUAAAACUCUUGGCUUUCUCAACCAAAACAAGGCACAAGAGGCAGUACAGCAGCUAAUCUCUGAACAUACUGCACUAAUAGCCAGCAGUGAAGCUCCACAUCCAUCAGAUGCAAGAGAAGGCACCAGCAACUCUCGUGAGUUUUUAUUUAUUCUGUAAAUUCCUUGACCUUGACAUAUUAGUACUGCUGUAUUUCAGCUGCUGGUGUUGUAUGAUUAUAUUUAAUGUUUUCUUUUUUUUUUUUUUUUGCUAUUUAUUGGUGAGAUGUGGUGUCUGCUAGAUGAAGCAGUGGACCAGAAGAGACAAAGCUCCAAUGCCACAGCAGAUGCCAUAGUAGAGGUGGAGCGAUACCAGGCAGAAGUUAACUUGACGAGACAUGAGGACCUCUGGAGUACUAGCAUACGUAAGACCCCAGACGAUACAUUUGUGGUGCUGCUUCAGUAUCUGGAGGGGCUCUAUGGAGGAACAAAGGAAACAACAGUCCUGAAGGCCUUCAUGCUGGUGGAAGAAUCUGAAAAGGCACCAAAGGACAUAGUUGUCCAUCAGAGGGCGCAGAGAGUCAGAGAAGUGAUCCUGCUCUUCUCCUGACCCAUGGGAACUACUGGACUUGAGGAAACAACACAGAAAUGCCCCUUUUCCGUUGGCUCGAUUUGGCCCGACUCUGCUCCACUCGGCUCGCUUCGCGAGCAUUACCAUUACUGUUAUUUCAGUAUAGGUACCUACUUUUUUAGUACCUCCUUCUUAGCAGGGCUAAGCGAGGCCGAGUCAGUACUGUACGUGAUGUGAAGAAACGACUGUUCAUUGAUUGGCUGUGGGCGUGGCCAGCCGCAAGAGUCGACCAGUGUAAAAAAAAAAAACAACCGCCAUUUUCAAACGUGCAUUUAAGCGAGUUUAUUUCUUCGGUUUAUAUCUUCUUGGAAUCGAAGAAGAACCCCAAUCAAGCUCACACAUAGCAACAGCACAGACCAACGUCUUCCAUAGCUCCUUCUUCUUGUUUUUGUAAUGCGUUUCGGUCUUAUUCUUCCUUACAUUGGCGGUUGUUGAAGAACGGUAGUGCUCCAAUUGCGCCGCCAUGAGUUUCAUUUGCGGUUAUGCAGCACGACACAUGAUGCUUUAAAGCCGCGCCUCCAGGAGGUGUUCCCUACAGUAGAGCAAAAGCGGGUCUAUAGAAAUGCAACACAACGUGCAGAGCCGUGCAGAGCUGUUCAGGGCAGGCCAAAUCGAGCCAGUGGAAAAGAGGCAGUAGAGACUGAAUGAAUGGCCUGAUCUCUUUCUUGGAACUGUUGUUCCCUUUAAAUAAUUUCUUUAAAGGCCCACAUGUUUUUCUUUACAACUAGAAUCUAAAGAGAUUAACGCUUCCUCACUUUUACCACAUUCGGAAUCUCAAACAUUUUUUUUUCCAAAAGGUGAUUUCAGUUUCCUCGUGUUGAAUAUAUUUAUGAUCGUCAGUAGGGGGAAGAUAAGUUCAGAAACCAGUGGAGGGAAACAUUGUCAGGAAUGCUUAUGGUUGAGACAUGUUGGUCCGAGUCGAACCUGCAACCAGUCGAGUAAAACUAACAUGGUGACCCUUCCUGAAAAACAUUGUAAGAAUUAUGAUUAUUGAUUAAUUA